rnacentral:rRNA from 1 species
GAUGAACGCUAGCUACAGGCUUAACACAUGCAAGUCGAGGGACCGGCGCACGGGUGAGUAACACGUAUCCAACCUGCCCUUUACUCGGGGAUAGCCUUUCGAAAGAAAGAUUAAUACCCGAUAUAAAGGCUGGGGAUGCGUUCCAUUAGGUUGUUGGUGAGGUAACGGCCCACCAAGCCUUCGAUGGAUAGGGGUUCUGAGAGGAAGGUCCACCAGAGUGGAGCUGAGACACGGACCAAACUCCGACGGGAGGGAGCAGUGAGGAAUAUUGGGCAAUGGGCGUUAGCCUGAACCAGCCAAGUAGCGUGAAGGAGGAAGGCGUAUGGAGCGUAAACUUCUUUUAUAGAAGAAUAGGUAUUAUAUGAAGAAGGAUCGGCUAACUCCGUGCCAGCAGCCGCGGUAAUUC